AAGAUUGGGAUGAAACAGAACAACGUACUCCAACACUUGAUCUGAGACAUUCAUUGUCGAGUCAUUGUAAAUUAUUAGCUUCUGAAUCCUC